UGUAGCUUCCCGAAGCUCUGCCUGGAAGGCUCCCUCUUUCAUUAUUGCUUAACAGCACAGUGAAACAGGUACAGCAAAAUCAAAUAGAGUCAUAGAGUGUCUCUAACCAGAGAGCAGGAGGCAAAGAAUCACAGGAAAAUAUGUUUCAGUUUAUCCUGAGUCUGUGCUUUGUCCAUCCUCACAAGGCCAGCAGCUCCAGCAGGCAGACCCAUGGGCUCCAUCUGUCUCGGGAACAGCUCGGAGGAAUGGGUUUGGAGCUACAAAUGGGUCUCAGGGACAACUCUUGGAACCAGAAUUGGAUACGGAGCUUAUUUUCCUUCAGCGCUUCAGAGUGAAAAGGUCUUUCGUGGGAUGUGAGCUCUGAAUUCCUCCUGGGGAUGAGGGAGUGCAGGUGGGAGCCGCUCUGCCCCGGUGGGACGUCACAAAGCUGCAGUGACUCACAGCAGCCCCAGUGCAGUGUUUGGACUCCCUGCAGUCACCUUGAAAACUUCUACUGACAUUAAAUGCCUUUUAUUUUCUGUAAGUGGUGGGAUGACUUUCCUGCUCGUGAAGAUGUAGGGCAAGAAGUGCUUUGGACUGAGAUCCCACACUAAGUCACACCAUCACGCCCACUCGCCAUAUCGCUCUGCUCAAUCUGGACCCAGAGGCAUGGAAUGAGUUUUGUAUAGGAGAAUAAUUCCAACUGCGAUCUACUUAAGGAGCCUUAGCUUCUUCAGAGCAUCUCAGCCCACACCACCCAGCACAAUCACCUGCAAAGGCAGAGGCACAAGCAGCAGCACAGUGCUAUUGCAGAGCAGAACCGGUGCUCCAGACAACUUUGUCUCAUGAAACGGUGCGGAAAAGUGUUUCUAUAGCAAACUGCUUUUUGUCUCGAGAACAUUUCACUAUAUCAAGAGCUUCACCACUGCAAGCUCCAGCCAUUGUUGCAGAUAUUUACAACCCGAGGCGGGGAAACC
ensembl:lncRNA